UACGUAGGGUGCGAGCGUUGUCCGGAAUUACUGGGCGUAAAGAGCUCGUAGGUGGUUUGUCGCGUUGUCCGUGAAAACUCACAACUCAAUUGUGGGCGUGCGGGCGAUACGGGCAGACUGGAGUACUGCAGGGGAGACUGGAAUUCCUGGUGUAGCGGUGGAAUGCGCAGAGUAUCAGGAGGAACACCGGUGGCGAAGGCGGGUCUCUGGGGCAGUGAACUGACGCUGGAGGAGC
rnacentral:rRNA from 1 species